UAAUAAAAAAAAUAAAAAGAAAUAAAUUGGGUCUGAACCCUUCUUUCUCUUUCAUAAAAAAACCCUAAUAAUAUUCUCGCCUCUUCCUCUGCCUCUCUUCCUCUCGCCUCUGCAAUCUCUUCCUCUCGCCUCUUCUUCCUUUCUCUUGGCAGAUGUUGCUGCCCAGCUUCCUCUGGCGACAAGCGCCUGAGACUUUGCGGAUUUAGGGCGUAGAGGAUGGAUUACAGGCACAAAUAAUGGUUACAGCAUAUAAUUUAAUUGGAAAAAGUUGUGAGCUCCUCCUUUGUAAUACAAAUCCAAUGGUACCUUCCAUAAUGGAAAGAGGAGCGCCUUUUUGUGACCAAAUUUUUUAAACAAUUUAUGGAUGUUUAAUGUAUUUUUUGUAACAAUCAAGUAUUCUCCUCAAACUCCAUUCUUUUUCCUAGCUCCUGGAUUCGUUGGGGGAUGGUGGAGUCCAUAUUUGUUCACAGCUACAAUAGCCUCAACAAAAUAUUUCUUUAAUCAUGUUUUAAGGAAAAAUACUUUAACAAAAGCUUGCAGAAACAUCUCUCGCCAUUAUGAUCGAUAGCUUCUCCUUUGUCCAAUCGCUCAAGGAGGACUAUGUUUGAAGGUCGUCGUGGAUCUCGCUAUUCAAAGUCGUCUGUGGUUUACGGUGGCAGAGUUCAUUGAUCUCGUCAUUCGAAUGCUGACAGCUCUAGGUUCUUGGUCUAAGGUGGCGGGUUUCGUGGAUCUCAACAUUCGAACGCCGGUGAUUUUAGGCUCAUCGUCUAUGGUGGCUGUAGGGUUCUGCUUGUAAUUUCUUUUUUCAAAUUUCAAUUUUAUUUCUGGAUGUGUUCAUAGCUAUUUUUUACUUUGUUUUUAAUUAUCCUAAAUUUUUAGUGUUGUAUUGAACAAUACUUGUUAUAUUGAUUUAAAAUAAUAUUUUUUUUGUUCAA